rnacentral:rRNA from 1 species
UACCUGCAGCUCGAGUGGUGAUCACUAUUAUUGGGCCUAAAACGUCCGUAGCCGGUCUUAUAAAUGCCUGGGUAAAUCGUGCCGCUUAACGGUACGAAUUCCGGGUAGACUGUAAAACUUGAGACCGGGAGAGGCUAGAGGUACUCCUGGGGUAGAGGUGAAAUUCUGUAAUCCUAGGGGGACCACCAGUGGCGAAGGCGUCUAGCUAGAACGGGUCUGACGGUGAGGGACGAAGCCCUGGGGCGCAAACCGGAUUAGAUACCCGGGUAGUCCAGGUGUAAACGCUGCUCGCUUGAUGUUAGUCGGGCUCCGAGCCCGAUUAGUGUCGGAGUGAAGAUGUUAAGCAAGCUGCCUGGGAAGUACGGUCGCAAGAUUGAAACUUAAAGGAAUUGGCGGGGAGCACAGCAACGGGUGGAGCGUGCGGUUU